rnacentral:rRNA from 1 species
CAGUUCGGACUGCAGUCUGCAACUCGACUGCACGAAGCUGGAAUCGCUAGUAAUCGCGGAUCAGCACGCCGCGGUGAAUACGUUCCCGGGCCUUGUACACACCGCCCGUCACACCAUGAGAGUCGGGAACACCCGAAGUCCGUAGCCUAACCGCGAAGGGGGCGCGGCCGAAGGUGGGUUCGAUAAUUGGGGUGAAGUCGUAACAAGGUAGC